AUGCUCAUUUCAGCAGCACAUAUACUAAAAUGUGAAUGACAGAGAAGAUUAGCAAGUCCCCUGAUCAAGGAUGACAUGCAAAUUUGUGAAGUGUUCCAUAUAUUU
ensembl:snRNA U6 U6 spliceosomal RNA